rnacentral:rRNA from 1 species
CUGGGCCGAUACAUGACAAUGAAGAGCGAUACGCUCUGGGAGCGAGCAGGAGUCGAUAGUCAUGAUAAGUACACGGCGUACACCUUGGCCCUACGUGUGGCGACAUUACACGGUCUCUGUACCGCAGCACACGCAAUAGCAGUCUCGCCUGAGGAGUAUCAAGUGAAGACUGUAUACUCAAAAGAAUUGACAGUUAGGCCCCACAAUCGGCGGAGCAUGUGCGACACUUCGCUUCAACGCGAAGAACCUUCCCUGAUUUUUGGCAGGCGCCAGACCUCCCUAGAGAUAGGGGGUUCCUUGGGGUGGUGGGCCGGGUUACAUUGCCGGCGUCCGCUUCUGUUCUUAGAAGGUGGGGUAAGAGUGCGACAAGGAGAAAACCCUUAUUCCCCUGUCGGCGUCGGUUUAUCCGGGUGACUCACGGGGGACUGCCGGGGUCAAUUCGGAGGAAGGUGGGGAUGACGUCAAGUCAUCAUGCCCCUUAUGUCCAGGGCUUCACACAUGCUACAAUGGCUCAUACAGAGGGCUGCGAGACCGUGAGGUGGAGCGAAUCCCUUAAAGUGAGUCUCAGUUCGGAUCGGGGUCUGCAACUCGACCCCGUGAAGUUGGAGUCGCUAGUAAUCGCAGAUCAGCAACGCUGCGGUGAAUACGUUCCCGGGCCUUGUACACACCGCCCGUCACGUCACGAAAGUUGGUAACACCCGAAGCCGGCGGCCCAACCCUUGUGGAGGGAGCUUCGAAUGGGGA